rnacentral:rRNA from 1 species
UCCGUAGGUGAACCUGCGGAAGGAUCAUUACUGAAUAUUAGCCCAUCUACUUGUAUAGCGUGACCUCCACUUUCUAACUCUGUGCAUUUAUUGGCGGACGGACUUGAGCAAUCGAGUUUCCUUCUGCGGCUCAUUUUAAAACACUAGUUAAAGUAUGUAACGAAAUAUCGAAACAAAAAAAACUUUCAACAACGGAUCUCUUGGCUUGCUCAUCGAUGAAGAACGCAGCGAAAUGUGAUAAGUAAUGUGAAUUGCAGAAUUCAGUGAAUCAUCGAAUCUUUGAACGCACCUUGCGCUCUCUGGUAUUCCGGAGAGCAUGUCUGUUUGAGUGUCAUGAACUCUUCAACCCACCAGUUUCUUGUAGACUGAUUGGUGUUUGGUUUCUGAGCGUUGCUGGUCUUCGGAUCUAGCUCGUUCGUAAUAUAUUAGCAUCUCUAAUUCGAACUCGGAUUGACUCAAGGUAAUAAACUAUUCGCUGAGGACACGCUCUUGUAGUGUGGCCGAAUGAGAUCUCGGUAGAAGCUUCCAACUACUUUAGUCAACUUUAGAUUAGACCUCAGAUCAGGCAGGAUUACCCGCUGAACUUAAGCAUAUCAAUAAGCGGAGGAA